CCUACGGGGGGCAGCAGUGGGGAAUAUUGCACAAUGGGGGAAACCCUGAUGCAGCGACGCCGCGUGAGUGAAGAAGUAAUUCGUUACGUAAAGCUCUAUCAGCAGGGAAGAAACACUGACCUUACGGUCAGUAGACGGUACCUGAGUAAGAAGCCCCGGCUAACUACGUGCCAGCAGCCGCGGUAAUACGUAGGGGGCAAGCGUUAUCCGGAUUUACUGGGUGUAAAGGGAGCGUAGGCGGUGCGCCAAGUCUGGAGUGAAAUGCCGCAGCUUAACUGCGGAACUGCUGUGGAAACUGGCGAACUAGAGUGCGGGAGAGGUAGGCAGAAUUCCUGGUGUAGCGGUGAAAUGCGUAGAUAUUAGGAGGAACACCGGUGGCGAAGGCGGCUUACUGGAC
rnacentral:rRNA from 1 species